AUUUAUUGAUAGCACAGCGAUCUUUGGUAACUCGAGUGUCCCGAACGCUUCUUGUAAACCGGUUUUUGUUUUUCCCUUCGCGAGUUAACGAACGAGCAACGAUCAUUUCAUAACGCGUGCGAAUGUUAACGAUGUCGUCCACCGAUGAACACGUGGCUAUACGAUAUCUAUAGUAUCGGAUAUAGCAGAUAUAUAUGGGAAUAAGAUAUGCGGUUUACACUGUCCUCACGAUGCAUGUAUUAUGCUGUUAGCUCGCGGUUACGCACGUGCACGCACGGAUAUUACGAGACAGAGUAUUGUCACGUUCGAGAACAAGCUGCGAUUGCUGGCGGAGCACGUGGUGUUGUCGAAUGAUAGGAUGCAACAAAAAUCAGAAUUCGACGUGACAGUAUGGAACCCAUUUAACAUCUUUAACUCUGAACAUCGGAACUUUGCGAUUCUUAUGCUGAAUCAACCUAUACUAUGGAAACCUCAGCAAAUGCUUCCAAUUUGGGAGAAAGCUCAGAUCACCGUCACUGUAGAUGGUGGAACGCAAAGAUGGCUGAAUUAUUUAAAGGAGAUAGAAAUAGAUGUACUGAAUGAUGAGCACAGAAAAUAUGUACCUGAUCUUAUUACCGGCGAUAUGGAUAGUUCUUCAGAGACUGUGAUUAAGAAACUGGAAAGUAUAGGUUCUACCGUCAUCAAGACACCUGAUCAGAAUCACACAGACUUUACUAAAGCCUUGGUGAAAGUCGAAGAGUAUGCCAAAGUGAAAAAUAUAAAUUUGAAAGAAAUAUAUGCAUUUGUGGAAACAAGCGGAAGGUUUGAUCAUAUCGUUGGCAACGUGAAUACAUUAUACAAAAGUGAAAAGCUUGUGGGAGAUAUAAAGGUAAUACAAAUUGCGACCAAUUCUUUCACAUGGAUAUUAAGACGUGGCUUACACAAGAUAAAUAUACCAGAGAAACUGGUGCAGCACAAAUCCUGGUGUGGCCUGAUGCCACUCGGAUAUCCAGUGGGACGCAUUUCAACGACCGGCUUAAAAUGGAAUUUAGUUAACGCCUCAAUGAUAUUUGGUGGUUUGGUGAGCACGUCGAAUACGUACGACAAUUGCGAAGUUACCGUGGACACAGAUACUCCUGUAACUUGGUCUAUGGGUAUCGAGCCUUUUAGAGAAACUGUAAAUAGUUAUGGAGCGUCGUAACGUUAUCUUAAAGCUCGACUCACCUAUACUGUCGCCUAGAGCAGAAACAACGUUGUGUAUGACAUACGAUAAAUGCUUGGUGACAGUGGAUACUGAUACACCAAUAGUGUUGUACAUGGAAAUAGACGUUAGCAGCGAGAACUUUUUCAAUUCUCAACUGAAUCGAAUUACUUUGGACUGACAGUACAUUAGAAAACCUUGCGAUGGCCUUCACGUGCAUAUGUACAUUGUUUUAUUGAUUGUUUGGGAUAAGAUUUCCUCUCACUGGUUGCCAAGUCCAUCGGAGAGGAGACACGAGCGUGUGAAAAUAUUUUGAUUCUACUGGGAGGCGAACUCGGGACCUCUAAGCAUAGCAGAACCAGUGCGUUAUCUGUUAUGCCACGCUCGUGCUCGUAUUUCUGAUUAGGUGAUAUUACCUAAUAACUUGACAAAAUGAAUUACAGUCAGUUACAGUUGACGUUUUCUGCCGUAUCAUCAAUAUUGUGCAAAAUUGCAAAGUGAUGAUGGAUACACCUGCAUUUUGGUAUAUUUAAAUUAUGUCGAAGAAAGACUGGACUUCUGUCCUGAAGGAAGUGAACUUGAUCCUGAACUUGAAACACGAUAAUAUGAAAACCUUUCAAUAGCUGUAUCUUUAUAUACGACGAUGGCCAUGGAAGUUGAAGUCCGCUAAGGAGUAUGUAAAUAACUCACUUGCCGAAGCAACUAGUCCUAUGAAUGGAUGAUUCUGAAAUAUCGGGUCUCUGCUAUUAUCCAUCCGCAACUCUACCUCAGUAGAAUUUUUUAUAAAAACAUAUGAAUAUUUGUAAAUAUAUUGUUAAUAUAUUGUAAGGAAGACGUAAUAUUGAUGAUAUUGACUACAUUGUUACUUUAUUUUUUCGUGCCAAAGGAUUGUAUAUAUUCCAUAUUAAAUUAUUGGAGAAAUAAGAAUUAUUGUAAUGACGUAUUAAUAAUUAUAAGA